UCUAAAAAAGAAUAAGAGCAGUCUUACUCUCCUUGCUAUAAAAAAAAGAUGAAGGCAGACUCUUCUCAGAAAUCCAUAGAGAAAACAGAAGACUGAGAAAGCCCUGAGUGUGAUUGAACAGCCCAUCUUUGAGCAGAUCUGUCUCUAUCAUGCCUGCAACAGCACACAGUGCUCCUCCAGCCCACUGAACAAUGGCAAGCAGACUACAGGGUACCUGUCCCAGAAUAGAAGAAGAACUACAUAUCCCAGAGGACUUUGUGUUCAGAGAGGAGAUAUAACCCCUGGCAAGGUCACCUGAUGUCUCUAUUCCCUUUUCGAUUGUCAGGCGCUCCUCCCUGCUGCUUGUUCCGACUGCACGCCUCAGCAUUAGUGUAAGGUCUUCACCUUUUGGACACUCUUUCUCUCAUUAUAUUUGAUUUAUUAGCUCCAGUUCUAAUUAUAUUGUACUAUAUUGUAUUACAGUCUGUUAUCUUGCAUUCCAAUAUCUUAUUUGGUAAAUUAGUUUGUUUCUCCUCAGAUCAUUGUCACUGUUUUGUUUCGGGGCCCACCCUUCUACCCGUUUUCCCUUAUCCCUUUCUGAGGUGCCUAUCUGCGUGUCCCUCUGCCCCAAACGGCCAAACCAGCCCAUAAACCGUUGGCAGCCAUAUUGGUCGUACUUGUUGACAUCAUCCGUCAAGACAACUUUCAAGUUGCACAGUGGAAUGGAUACAGCCCUUGAUGUGAGAUGUACAGAGAUAUUGAAUUGCUGAUGCCAGCAGCCUUGCCUCAACCCAGCUUGAGUUAAGUGCCACUGAACAGGAUACCUCAAGGGUGGGAUGAAUUGAUGAACUCAGUUUUAGGAGCACUUCAGAAGGUAAAGAUCCUCAGCGCGCUUUUCUGAAAUUCUGAAGAGCAGAUCAUGUCUCAACUUCAGUUUUUAUGUCUCAAACAUUAAACUUGUAUUUCACAUGUGUUUCCUAUAUGAGGAGGGACAUGUCACAUAGAGACCAGUGGUAGUCUGCAAGUGGUAGUCCCUCUUACCCAGCUAAGUGUUGGAAUCAUGCCUGAACUCUAAGAUUCACUGGGAUUUUGGCUCACUUCUUUUUUAGGAUUGAAUAUAAAGCACAGAGUAUAUCUCCAUUAUUCACCUAAAAAUAUAGAACAGCUUUUAAGAAUAUAAAUCUUUUGGGGUUCUAUUCUUCCAUGUUAUUGUAGAAGAAAUGAUAUUUAUCUACAAAUUAUUGGUGGUGGUGGUGGUAAAGUCAGAAAAACUAUAAAAGUAUGUUUUUUUCAUCAGAUCAGAAUUAUUUCUACACCAGUAUUUCUGUUUCGUAUAUUAUUUUCUCUGGCUGUCAAAUGCAAACAUUAUGCUCUGAAACAUUUAGAAAUUGGUGACACUGCAAACUUCUGACCUUAAUCCACCAGUCACUGAGCCACAGCCAGAUCAAUUACAAGGUUCAGAGAACUUAACUGUAACAUGCCAUAGGGAAAAGGCAGGAGAAUUAAGGUCAGAACUGACUGUUUUUAAAACAAUUCUGUGACCACAGAAAGUAUUUUUUCAGGUAAACAUGCAAAGAGAUUAAAUUCAGGCAGGUGGAGCAUCCUCAUCCUACUUUAGAAUCCCUCACUAUGUUUGUUAGAACAUGGUGAUGAAUAAGAUUAUCACUGGACAUAAUCAAUUUGAAAAUGCCUUUACAUUGCAAAAUAAGUAUUUUAAAUUUUCAGCUGGAGGCAUAAUUUCCUGUGAGAUUUGUAACUUUGACACUCUCAUAUAUAACUUGACCUGGUUUAAGUAUUUCCCUGACUGACAUCUGCUUUUGGAUUCAAGGCUCUGUAUCCAAAUCCAGAUAGGAUACAAGCUCUAUAAUGAUACCCAAUUAGUGGUUUAAGUCUUUCCAUGUGUCGAAUCUGAUGCAGGUUUGUGGGUGCUUCCCUGGAAUUGUGUGUAUGCCAAGUAUGUGCUGUGUUGGAACACUUUUCCGCAUCUGAGCCUUGUGACUAUGGGUUUGUUAGCACAGGAAAAAUGCUACACAUAGUGGUCCUUCCACUUCCUGAGUAGGAAAUAGCAUAUAUAUAAUCUUUUUAACCAAUAGAUACUCUUGCUCGUUCUCCAAAGAUAGAGCAGAUGCAUCUGAAGUAUGACAUUCCCUGCUCAGAACACGUCUUCUGAAACCUCAUCAGGAAUAAUAUACGGUACUUAAAUAUAUUGUGGUUGGAGCUACAUCAGCCAAGAUUGCAAUAAAUAACAUGUAAUGCAUGUCUAGAUACCAACUGGAGAUAAUGUAUUACAUAUUUGAGUAUUUUGCUAUGUUUUCAAAGGCAAGGUUUUCAGGUCUAGAAGAAGAAUAUGUUCCUAGAAACUGUUGCCCAGUUUGAAGCAAUUUUAUGGACCUUAUUUUUAAAAGAUGACAACAUAAAAAAGUCUAUCCAUAUAUAACUCAUAAAAAUGAGCACCUAAAAUCCCUUCAGAAAAAACUGACAUUUAUCUCUACUCUUCUAAACUGUUGAGAUAAGAUGACUGAACGAAAAUCAGUAAAAGCCCUCAGACUGCAAUUACUGCUUAGUGUGUAUUUACUGGUUCAGGUAUUUCCCAACCAAACCUGGGUGUUUAUAUUUUUAUUUUGUAAACUAUCUUAUAGGGCACUGUGAAAGAUUUGCUCAUAUUAGAAUACUAUUUAUUAUAUAUGAAUAUGAAUUCACUAUUAUCCUAACUCCUAUGAUCUUCUUCUUUUAUCAUAAAAUAUGCUUUCAUGCAGAUUCCUGUCUCACUUCCACAACUCUGUAAAUUUCAAAGGGUAAAAGGCUGGAGAAGAAGUAAGUUCUGGGAAAAAAAAAGAAAAAAAAAAAAA
ensembl:lncRNA